ACUUGUGGGCUACGCAGGCGACGUAGCAAAGGUGGUUGGCUUGUGCCAUGGUCGAAAAUAACUGCAAACCCACGUUCCGACCUUCCCCCACCAAGCUGGAGACCAAAAGGGCUAGGAGCUGCUAAUUAUAAUUUGAUGCUCCGUUCUCCGGAAGUUCUUUUCGGAAACGAGGUGAAAGGGGGAGGGGAGUGAAGGCAGAGAUAAUUAUAAGGAUAGCUAUUCACGAAACGCGUUGGUACGCCGAAGGCGGCAGCUGACACCAAAACAAAGUAGUACCCAAACGGAGAAGCUGGGUCUCCGGAAAGAAAGCAGGGCAGAAACGAAAUACAUAUUCGGAGAGACGCACAGAAUGCCCAGGUUCCAAUAAGGAGUGGACCAACAGGGACCGGAGAGGAGGUCCGAAAGGGCACCAUCCUGUGGCUAAGGCCCUUCCCGCCAAACCGUCUGAUGUCGAGGUUCCCUGCUCCUUCUCCCAAAGCCAGCAGCACCUCCCCGAUCCUCGUCCCUCCUGCUUAAGUGACAGGGUGAGUGUGAACAAAGGCUCCUCCCCUCAUUUCCCAGCCCAGAGAGAAGAACCUAGGGCAGCUUUGGUUUCAAAGUUAUAAUGCAUGGUUUAAAAGAGAGGAAAGGAAAAAAAAAAAAGAGAGAGAGAGAGAAAGCUGGUUACAGGUCUGAGGGAAUCUAGGAAGAAGGGAAAAUAGAGG